UUUUAGCAUGGAAUAAUGAAAUAGGACUUUGGUCUUAUUUUGUUGGUUUCUAGGACCGAAGUAAUGAUUAAUAGGGAUAGUUGGGGUGGUUCGUAUUUAAUUGUCAGAGGUGAAAUUCUUGGAUUUAUGAAAGACGAACUUCUGCGAAAGCAUUCCACAAGGAUGUUUUCAUUAAUCAAGAACGAAAGUUAGGGGAUCGAAGAUGAUCAGAUACCGUCGUAGUCUUAACCAUAAACUAUGCCGACUAGGGAUCGGUGGAUGUUAUUUUUAUUUCAUGACUCCAUCGGCACCUUACUGAGAAAUCACAAGUCUUUGGGUUCCGGGGGGAGUAUGGUCGCAAGGCUGAAACUUAAAGGAAUUGACGGAAGGGCACCACCAGGAGUGGAGCCUGCGGCUUAAUUUGACUCAACACGGGGAAACUCACCAGGUCCAGACACAAUGAGGAUUGACAGAUUGAGAGCUCUUUCUUGAUUUUGUGGGUGGUGGUGCAUGGCCGUUCUUAGUUGGUGGAGUGAUUUGUCUGCUUAAUUGCGAUAACGAACGAGACCUUAACCUGCUAAAUAGCCCGUAUUGCUUUGGCAGUACGCCGGCUUCUUAGAGGGACUAUCGGCUCAAGCCGAUGGAAGUUUGAGGCAAUAACAGGUCUGUGAUGCCCUUAGAUGUUCUGGGCCGCACGCGCGCUACACUGACGGAGCCAGCGAGUACUCCCUUGGCCGGAAGGCCCGGGUAAUCU
rnacentral:rRNA from 1 species